rnacentral:rRNA from 1 species
UACGUAGGGGGCAAGCGUUGUCCGGAUUUAUUGGGCGUAAAGAGCGUGUAGGCGGUUAGGUAGGUCCGUUGUGAAAACUCCGGGCUCAACUCGGAGACGCCACUCGAUACUGCUAUGACUCGAGUCCGGUAGGGGAGUGCGGAAUUCCUGGUGUAGCGGUGAAAUGCGCAGAUAUCAGGAGGAACACCGGUGGCGAAGGCGGCACUCUGGGCCGGUACUGACGCUGAGGAGCGAAAGCGUGGGGAGCGAACAGG